UCCAAAGCGCGAGUGAUUGCACGCACGGAACAUGAAACGGGGAUCACACAACAAAAGGGCUUCACACCCAGCUCGAAUCCCAUCCAGUACGAUUUCCCCGUUGGAAGCAGACGAAGGUUCGUUAUGACAAGGGCACAAGUACCUUCAAGUACAAAGGAGGAGUCGCCGUUGCUGCCGAAUUACGAGCUACGGGGGGCGAAUACAUCGGAUUUACGAGCUGAGAAACCAAGAGGGGAUCGCUAUUGCUGCUGCUUCAAAAUUGCUCGCCAAUAUCUUGUAAAACUACAAAGGAUGCCAUGAUCUUUGGCUGGGACAAGCGGCAUGUUCUCCUCUGGCUUUGGGCCGACAUACUCAAUUCGGUGUCCUGGACAAUGGCUACAAGUUUGACAUGGACGACCAAGAGGCCUUGGAGCUUGCCCACAAGGCUAUCCACCACGCCAUCUUCAGGGACCUUGCGAGCGGUGGCAUUGUGAGAGUUUACCAAGUGUAUCUCUGAAGAAGACAGCAUGGAUCUGCACUACAAGUUUCAAGCAGAGAAGAUGCAGUGAUAUCUAUGUACUCAAGAUUGACUCAAGAGCAUCCACUGAAAAGAUGCAGCGCAAGUGAUAUACUCCUUUUUUGCGACGCGAGUGAAAACAAUAAAACUGCACUUUGAUGCACGUUCA
rnacentral:misc_RNA from 1 species